UACAGAGGUCUCAAGCGUUGUUCGGAUUCAUUGGGCGUAAAGGGUGCGUAGGCGGCGCGGUAAGUCGGGUGUGAAAUCUCGGGGCUUAACUCCGAAACUGCAUUCGAUACUGUCGUGCUUGAGGACUGGAGAGGAGACUGGAAUUUACGGUGUAGCGGUGAAAUGCGUAGAUAUCGUAAGGAAGGCCAGUGGCGAAGGCGGGUCUCUGGACAGUUCCUGACGCUGAGGCACGAAGGUCAGGGGAGCAAACGGG
rnacentral:rRNA from 1 species